GAUCAUGGCUCAGGAUGAACGCUAGCUACAGGCUUAACACAUGCAAGUCGAGGGGCAGCAUCAUCAAAGCUUGCUUUGAUGGAUGGCGACCGGCGCACGGGUGAGUAACACGUAUCCAACCUGCCGACAACACUGGGAUAGCCUCUCGAAAGAAAGAUUAAUACCGGAUGGUAUAGUUUUCCCGCAUGGGAUGAUUAUUAAAGAAUUUCGGUUGUCGAUGGGGAUGCGUU
rnacentral:rRNA from 1 species